GAUGAUAAUCGAGAUUACCUUCCAUGAGGCAAUCUGGAUUAGAAAGAGGUGGAUAUUUAGAUUGCCACUUUUGUGGUAAUAUUGUAAUAAAAAUUUUGGAUAAAAUUAUCUCUAAAAAAAAUCAUACAAAAUCCAUCACCCAAUCCUCCCCCAUCCGCUCCACCCUAUCAUGUAUGCCUCCCACCCAUGGCUCCUCUAUCUCCCUCUGCUUGCCUAUGGCUCCUUUGCCCUCAUUCCCCACC
rnacentral:lncRNA from 1 species